UCCGGUUUGGCACCGGCAGUCUCCCUAGAGUUCCCGCCAUUACGCGCUGGCAACUAACGAUAAGGGUUGCGCUCGUUGCUGGACUUAACCAAACACCUCACGGCACGAGCUGACGACAGCCAUGCAGCACCUAUAUAGAGACCCUUUCGAGAAACAUCAUCUCUGAUGUCGUCCUCUACAUUUCGAGCCCAGGUAAGGUUCUUCGCGUUGCAUCGAAGUAAACCACAUGCUCCACUGCUUGUGCGGGCCCCCGUCAAUUCUUUUGAGUUUCACCCUUGCGAGCGUACUCCCCAGGCGGUAUACUUAAUGCGUUAGCUCCGACACAGAAAGGGUUGAGCCCUCCUACGUCUAGUAUACAUCGUUUAAGGCAAGGACUAC
rnacentral:misc_RNA from 1 species